GACGAGGGAUCCUAGCGUUGUUCGGAAUCAUUGGGCGUAAAGCGGAUGUAGGUGGCUUUGUAAGUCAGGUGUGAAAGCCCCGGGCUCAACCCGGGAAGUGCAUUUGAUACUGCGAAGCUUGAGUGCUAGAGAGGUUACUAGAAUACCUGGUGUAGUGGUGAAAUACGUAGAUAUCAGGUGGAAUACCGGCGGCGAAGGCGGGUAACCAGCUAGACACUGACACUCAGAUCCGAAAGUGUGGGGAUCAAACAGG
rnacentral:rRNA from 1 species